rnacentral:tRNA from 1 species
CAAAGAAUAGUUUAAAUAAAAUACUAGCUUUGGAAGUUAGAGAUGUAGCACUUCUUUGA